GGGCCUGUAGCUCAGUCUGGCAGAGCACCGGCCUUUUAAGCCGGCUGUCGCGGGUUCAAAUCCCGCCGGGCCCG
rnacentral:tRNA from 1 species